rnacentral:rRNA from 1 species
CGACGCUGGCGGCGCGUCUUAAACAUGCAAGUCGAACGAUCUGUAGCAAUACAGGGAGUGGCGGACGGGUGAGGAACACGUAGGAAUCUACCUUGAAGAGCGGGACAACUUUGGGAAACCGGGGCUAAUACCGCAUAGUACAGAGAUGUUAAAGGGCUAGCAAUAGUCGCUUCGAGAUGAGCCUGCGGUCUAUCAGCUUGUUGGUGAGGUAAUGGCUCACCAAGGCUACGACGGAUAGCCGGUCUGAGAGGAUGAUCGGCCACACUGGCACUGAGACACGGGCCAGACUCCUACGGGAGGCAGCAGUUAAGAAUCUUGCGCAAUGGGGGAAACCCUGACGCAGCGACGCCGCGUGAAGGAUGAAGGCUUCGGGUUGUAAACUUCGGUAGACUGGGAAGAAGAAAUACGUUCGUUGAGGGCGUAUAGUGACGGUACCAGUCUGAAGCCCCGGCUAAUUACGUG